rnacentral:rRNA from 1 species
UACGUAGGCAGCAAGCGUUGUUCGGAGUUACUGGGCGUAAAGGGUGCGUAGGUGGUUUGUUAAGUCUGCUGUGAAAUCCCCGGGCUCAACCUGGGAAUGGCAGUGGAUACUGGCAAGCUAGAGUGCGGUAGAGGGUAGUGGAAUUCCCGGUGUAGCAGUGAAAUGCGUAGAGAUCGGGAGGAACACCAGUGGCGAAGGCGGCUACCUGGACCAGCACUGACACUGAAGCACGAAAGCGUGGGGAGCAAACAGG